rnacentral:rRNA from 1 species
GACGAACGCUGGCGGCGUGCCUAAUACAUGCAAGUAGAACGCUGAAGGAGGAGCUUGCUUCUCUGGAUGAGUUGCGAACGGGUGAGUAACGCGUAGGUAACCUGCCUGGUAGCGGGGGAUAACUAUUGGAAACGAUAGCUAAUACCGCAUAAGAGUAGAUGUUGCAUGACAUUUGCUUAAAAGGUGCAAUUGCAUCACUACCAGAUGGACCUGCGUUGUAUUAGCUAGUUGGUGGGGUAACGGCUCACCAAGGCGACGAUACAUAGCCGACCUGAGAGGGGGAUCGGCCACACUGGGACUGAGACACGGCCCAGACUCCUACGGGAGGCAGCAGUAGGGAAUCUUCGGCAAUGGACGGAAGUCUGACCGAGCAACGCCGCGUGAGGGAAGAAGGUUUUCGGAUCGUAAAGCUCUGUUGUAAGAGAAGAACGAGUGUGAGAGUGGAAAGUUCACACUGUGACGGUAUCUUACCAGAAAGGGACGGCUAACUACGUG